CAUUGCGCUUUAUGCGAGUGGAGUGUUUGUUUCGUGCUUCCUCAAAGGAUCAAGACAAAACGAAUAAAGGAUAUUGGAAAUGUGUGACGUGUGAGUGUGCCGCGUGUGGUUGUGCCGCGUUUCGUUCUGCAGUGGAUGAUGGUUUUCCCUAGGCGGGACCGAAUUAAUAAGGCUAAAGGAUUUCAGAAGGGCAGCCUUAUAAAGGUAGGAUUUUUUCUUUUUGCAUGCGGGUGUAGGGUUUAUUGCAUUUUUUAUUUUCUGUAUAUAGCAGUGAGGGGGGGAAGUGAAUAGUGCAUCGUAACAAUAAGGUAAGGUAAGGUAUUAAUAUUGGCUGACCUUCGUAUGUUACUACUAAGUGAGUUGUGGUGGUCUUCUAAUCCAUCUCAGUGACGUAAGAGUGGCUCCAACGAAUCUUCGUGAAGUGCAGAACCAAUCAAUUUACUUCAUAAGAAUCAGUAUUCUUAGCCAUACCAGUUCUGUUAAGUAAACGGAUUGUUUCUGCAAAUCAGACUAUGUAGAAGUGACGCAGCCAUUUCUUUCGUUUCGAAGUUGAGGGGUUUCGAAGAUUUCCAUACCUCGCUUAGUAUCACUUGAAGAUCAGCUUAACGAUUUUUUUAUAAUAAAAAAAGGUAAGUGCGACUGAAUCACCAUAAGCGCGUUCGUCUACUACUGAGUUGGUUUUCAUACUUUUUUAAUAAACGAACGCGCUGAAAAUUGAUUCUAACAAGUAUACUGGGCCUAACGGUCCUACUUAUUGAUCUUUUCCAUUGUUCACAGUGCGGGCCCUGCAUCCACUGUCAAAACGAUCAACCCGCGGCCCGGUUUCAGAAUGACAUGGAUAUCGCUCAAACGAGCGAGUAUUGGGGAAUGGAGAAAGAUGUUCACCACCCGUUGUGAGGUUCUUGACAGGCGAGAUCGAAUUAAUAAAGCUAAGGAUUCCAGAAGGCCAGCCUUAUUAAGGUAGGAUUUUCUUUUUUCUAUGCAUGGGCAUUUUCUUUUUUAUGUAUUUAGGAGUGCAGUG